rnacentral:rRNA from 1 species
GACAGAGGGUGCAAACGUUGUUCGGAAUUGCUGGGCAUAAAGAGCACGUAGGUGGUGCGCUAAGUCACGUGUGAAAUCCCACGGCUCAACCGUGGAACGGCUGGGUAUACUGGCGGUCUUGGGCCAUUCAGGGGCGACUGGAACAAGCGGUGGAGCGGUGAAAUGCGUAGAUAUCGCUUGGAACGCCGAAGGUGAAAACAGGUCGCUGGGGAUGUGCCGACGCUGAGACACGAAAGCCAGGGGAGCAAACGGG